rnacentral:rRNA from 1 species
GAUGAACGCUAGCUACAGGCUUAACACAUGCAAGUCGAGGGGAAACGACAUCGAAAGCUUGCUUUUGAUGGGCGUCGACCGGCGCACGGGUGAGUAACGCGUAUCCAACCUGCCCACCACUUGGGGAUAACCUUGCGAAAGUAAGACUAAUACCCAAUGACGUCUCUAGAAGACAUCUGAAAGAGAUUAAAGAUUUAUCGGUGAUGGAUGGGGAUGCGUCUGAUUAGCUUGUUGGCGGGGUAACGGCCCACCAAGGCGACGAUCAGUAGGGGUUCUGAGAGGAAGGUCCCCCCACAUUGGAACUGAGACACGGUCCAAACUCCUACGGGAGGCAGCAGUGAGGAAUAUUGGUCAAUGGGCGAGAGCCUGAACCAGCCAAGUAGCGUGCAGGAAGACGGCCCUAUGGGUUGUAAACUGCUUUAUAAGGGAAUAAAGUGAGCCUCGUGAGGCUUUUUGCAUGUACCUUAUGAAUAAGGACCGGCUAAUUCCGUG